CCUGAUUGUAACAUCUUUGAAUGUCUGUCCUGACCACAGGUUACAUGUGCCUAGAUGCUAAGGAGAAUAAGAACUAUGAAAAAAGGGCAUGCCAAUAUUCAUGGGGUGUAGAAGUACAGGAUUGUCAGGAGAAGCACCCAGGCAGAAAGGGAAGAACAAUAGCCCAGCCUCUCAGCAAACACCCAGGACUCCUGAUCUGAAUGUCACCCAAAUCCUUCUGAGAUGGCUGAACUGGUUUAACCUGUCUCAGAAAGCACAGGAGAACCAAGGACUUAGGCUGGAUUGAGAGUAGCAGCAAGCACAGGUGCUGCUGGAGGACCAUCUGCAGCAAGGAUGAGGAAAGUCAGAG